CCUCCCAUAACUCAACGGUAGAGUGACCGGCUGUAGCCCGGUAUACCCAAGUUCAACUCUUGGUGGGGGGA
rnacentral:tRNA from 1 species